GAUGAACGCUGGCGGCGUGCCUAAUACAUGCAAGUCGAGCGAACGGACGAGAAGCUUGCUUCUCUGAUGUUAGUGGCGGACGGGUGAGUAACACGUGGAUAACCUACCUAUAAGACUGGGAUAACUUCGGGAAACCGUAGCUAAUACCGGAUAAUAUUUUGAACCGCAUGGUUCAAAAGUGAAAGACGGUCUUGCUGUCACUUAUAGAUGGAUCCGCGCUGCAUUAGCUAGUUGGUAAGGUAACGGCUUACCAAGGCAACGAUGCAUAGCCGACCUGAGAGGGUGAUCGGCCACACUGGAACUGAGACACGGUCCAGACUCCUACGGGAGGCAGCAGUAGGGAAUCUUCCGCAAUGGGCGAAAGCCUGACGGAGCAACGACGCGUGAGUGAUGAAGGUCUUCGGAUCGUAAAACUCUGUUAUUAGGGAAGAACAUAUGUGUAAGUAACUGUGCACAUCUUGACGGUACCUAAUCAGAAAGCCACGGCUAACUACGUG
rnacentral:rRNA from 1 species